AUCAAUCCAAAUGGGUGUGAUACUAACAAUCAAGAUGUAAUCAGAAGUCAUUAAGUCAAGCCAAACAUUAACAUGUUUUAGUGUGUUCUAGCAGUUCUAAGUGAACAUGCAGAAAACAGAAAAUCAAGCAGAAACAAUAAAACACUCGACCAACACAGCUCAUUGCAGAGCACUGGGUGUGGUCGAGUGACUAGUCGAGUAACAUACAGUAAAUGAAACAAAGAUACUCGACUGCACAGUCUGUUGCCAGACAACUGGGUGGUCGAGUAUCAGGUCGAGUAACAAGAAAGAAUUGCAGAAACUAAACAACAGAUGACAAGAUGCAGUAAACAACAGUAGAGUAAACAAAGAAAUCAAUCAGAUAAAGAAUUCCCGAGGAUGGGGUAAUUGAGUAGUUUCGUUUCCUCAGUUUAUAGGUGAUUGACAUGCUCAAUAAAUUAUCCCUAUACAACAAGUUCGGUAACCAAAUCUAAGUGCCACCUCAACAGAGACCCUGAAGUUAAACUAGUCCCAGACUCAAUCACCAUUGACGAGAGCUACCUAACAGGCAUUACAAAUCAACAAGUUAAAGCCAAAACGUUCCCUGCAACCAAUACCUUGGUACAGGGCCACGAAUCUCUGGAAUUAGUGGUUCAGACAUUUCAUCGAACACUUUUUGGACCCGAAAAUGUCUGGGCUCAAAUUCCAGUUGAUCAGAAAGCAAUAGGCAUUAAGAACAACUAAUCCAGAAGGGAUCUAUAAAUCAAACUCAACCACCUAGCAUACUGAGAAUUCUAAACAACUCUAACCCAUCCUCAGAAACUUAUUCACUACUCAGACAUCAUUGUAGAAAGCAUAAACGUUGAAUAGAAUGAAAACAUGAUAACAAAAGAGUAAUAGCAAGGUGAUAACAGGAUGAACAACAGCAAACGAAAUCAAGAACAAAAUACUGAAUAAUGAAUAGAUUAAGAGAAAAAUCUGGAUUACAAAAGGUCAAGAACACAGAGUUUGCGGAAUAAAACUUAGAUUUACGAAAUAUGUAAAGUACAUGCUACUUAUAGCGAAAUAUUCUGAAACCCUAAUAGUCAAAAUGACGCAGUAUUGGGACGGAUUAAGAACUGUACUCGACCCAUGUGGUCGAGUGAGUGGUCGAGUGUUAAGCUGGAGUCUUCUUUUCUUCCUUGUGCUCGAGUGUCUGGUUGAGUGCGGAAUGGAGAAGACUCUGAAGCUGGCAGUCGAGUAUGUAGUCGAGUGAUAGAAAUGGUACUCGGCUUGGUGGUAGAGUGAUCGAGUGAAGGUGAUGAAGGUACUCGACCACGUGGUCGAGUAGUGUGAUCGAGUGAAGGUGAUGUGGUGGACGUGAUGAUACUCGACCAGGGGGUCGAGUGAUGUGAUCGAGUGAUUAUCUUGGUGGUACUCGACUAGGGGGUCGAGUGGUAAUGUGAAGUGAUGAUGAUACUCGACCUCGUUGGUAGAGUGAUUGGUCGAGUGAAUGAUGAUGGUGAGACAAGGCCAUGUUGGUAGAGUGAUUGGUCGAGUGGAUGAUGAUGGUGAGACUCGGCCAUGUUGGUAGAGUGAUUGGUCGAGUGAAUGAUGAUGGUGAUACUCGGCCAUGUUGGUAGAGUGAUUGGUCGAGUGAAUGAUGAUGGUGAUACUCGACCAUGUUGGUGGAGUGAUUGGUCGAGUGAAUAAUGAUGGUGAUACUCGACCUGUUGGUAGAGUGCUUCGCUGUAGAAGUUGUGGCCGAGUACUUCAGGAACUCUAGGAUGACUAUACUCGAGCUCGUGGUCAAGUAUGUUGAUUUGAUCAGGUCCACUUCUUCCAAUUAGCUCACCAGCAGCUCCAAAUCACCUGAAAACAACACAAAUAUGCAAUAUGCAUGCAAAACUAUCCUAGACAUGCAAAGUGAUGACAAAUGAUGAGAAAUGGUAUAAAACAGUGGUGAUAUGAUGCUAAAGUGAUGACAAAUGGAUGCUCAAAACGUGUAAAAUGCACACUUAUCAACUAACUUCUGCUUUAGUGACCUCUUUGGUUAGUUCCUUAUUCAUAUUUUCCGUAAUAAUCAGAGACACUUCAUUACCUUAUCCGCGAUGCCAUCUGUAUUGGAAACCUGAAAAAGAUCUUUAAACUCGUUGUUAUCUCCUCCAUUCAAGUUUCUGAUUUCUCCCAAAUCCUAUUAAGUUCAUAUAAACCUGAAAUCUUAUUUCUUGCCCUUCCUUUUUUUU
rnacentral:sRNA from 1 species